rnacentral:sRNA from 1 species
UUCCAAGCGAACUGGCCAAUGAGAUCCCCGUGUGAGUAGAGCUCAGCCCCCACCUGCUCCCUCUCACUCCCACUCCUCCAUCCUUCCUGGUGGGGAGCAGAGUCCUGAGCCCCCGGGGAACUUUCCAUCCCUCGUGGUGGAGGAUGGGGGUCCGGCGCUAUUCGGCUGCAAGAGGCUGUUUCCUGCCUCAGAAGUGCAGCCGCCCCUCCCAGGGCACAGGCCGAGGGUCGCCCCACAGCCAACCCCCACCACUGAGGCUGUACACACCUGUGUGCAUGCAUGUCCGUGUCCGUGUGCACGUCCGUGUGUGUGAACAUGCAGGUGUGUCUACGUAUAUGGGGUGGAUGUGCAAGUGUGUGUGACUGCAUCCGUGUGUGUGCAUGGGUCCAUGUAUGUGUACAUGAGGGAGACACGCAGGUGUGUGUCCGUGUGUGUGUGUACAUGAGGGAGACAAGCAGGUGUGUGUCCGUGUGUGUGUGUGCAUGCAUGGGUCCGUGUGUGGUACAUGAGGGAGACACACAGGUGUGUGUGUGCACAAUGGGUCCUUGUAUGUGUGUGUACAUGAGGGAGACAUGCAGGUGUGUGUCCGUGUGUGUGUGUGCAUGGGUCCAUGUGUGUGUGUACAUGAGGGAGACACGCAGGUGUGUGUCCGAGUGUGUGCACAUGGGUCCAUGUGUGUGUACAUGAGGGAGACACGCAGGUGUGUGUGCACAUGGGUCCUUGUAUGUGUGUGUACAUGAGGGAGACACGCAGGUGUACGUGUGUGUGUGUGUACGGGUCCAUGUAUGUGUGUGUACCUGAGGGAGACACGCAGGUGUGUGUCUGUGUGUGCAUGGGUCCGUGUAUAUGUGUGUAUAUAUGGGGGGAUAUGUAGAUGUGUGUGUGUGUGAACAGAUGUAAGUGGGGAGCAUUCAGGUGUGUCCGUGUGUGUUCAUGUACACGUGUGUAUAUGUGUGAACACAGGUGCGUGUGUGUCCAUGUGUAGGUUUGCGUGCAUGCACACAUGCAUGUGUGUAUUGGGGCAUCCGAGCCCCUGGUCUCCACUACAUACCACCCUACACGUACCUGCUUGAUCUCUGUGCCCAGCUGUGGGUGUGUUCCCCUGCUGUCUGCACGUGGCUGUGUUCCCCUGCUGUCUGCAUGUGGGUGUGUUCCCCUGCUGUCUGCACGUGGGUGUCUGCACGUGGGUGUCUGCACGUGGGUGUAUGCAUCCUCACGUGUCUGUGCCCUCACGUGUCUGCACCCUCAUGUGUCUCAUGUCUGCCCUCAUGUCUCGUGUCUGUGCCCUCACGUGUCUCAUGUCUGCGCCCUCACGUGUUUCGUGUCCGCACGGUGUCUGCGCAAGCAUGUGUAGGUGUCCCUGCUGGGCUCUUUGGUGGGCGGCCAAUGAUCCUCGAGGUCACGCAUGUCUUCUGUGGGUGCCUGCUCCUUGCACCCCACAGUGUUGAGACGGGUUUGCAUUGGCCCCACCUGUCCCCUGCUCACCCGCCUCCCUCUCUUCCUGCUUCUAAGCCCCGAAACUCUGGAUUCCGGGGCCCUUCACAGGUGAGCACGUGGCAGCAGUGCCUGCAGACCCCCGGCUGGCCCAUCUGUCCCCCCGCCCCUCUCUCUGCCAGGCUGCCCCUGUCUCCAUCCUUCUUCUCCCUCCCAGUGUCGGUGUCUGCCCACCAGCCACCCCUGGGUCCCAUCACAGCCCUUGUGGCCUCUGCAGCUGGGGCCCUUGUCCUCCCACCUCCCCCACCCUGUCCUGUUGCCACCUUCCUAGAGGCCCUGACCUGCCCUCUGCCCUCCAGCGAGAAGGCACUGCAGAGCAACCACUUUGAACUGAGCCUGCGCACUGAGGCCACGCAGGGGCUGGUGCUCUGGAGUGGCAAGGCCACGGAGCGGGCAGACUACGUGGCGCUGGCCAUUGUGGACGGGCACCUGCAGCUGAGCUACAACCUGGGCUCCCAGCCCGUGGUGCUGCGUUCCACCGUGCCCGUCAACACCAACCGCUGGUUGCGGGUCGUGGCACAUAGGGAGCAGAGGGAAGGUUCCCUGCAGGUGGGCAAUGAGGCCCCUGUGACCGGCUCUUCCCCACUGGGCGCCACGCAGCUGGACACUGAUGGAGCCCUGUGGCUUGGGGGCCUGCCGGAGCUGCCCGUGGGCCCAGCACUGCCCAAGGCCUACGGCACAGGCUUUGUGGGCUGCUUGCGGGACGUGGUGGUGGGCCGGCGCCCGCUGCACCUGCUGGAGGACGCCGUCACCAAGCCAGAGCUGCGGCCCUGCCCCACCCCAUGAGCUGGCACCAGAGCCCCGUGCCCGUUGUAAUUAUUUUCUAUUUUUGUAAACUUGUCGCUUUUUGAUAUGAUUUUGUUGCCUGAGUGUUGGCCGGAGGGACUGCUGGCCCGGCCUCCCUUCCAUCCAGGCAGCCGUGCUGCAGACAGACCUGGUGCCGAGGCAUGGACAGGCGAGGUGGCAGCGUGGAGGGCUCGGCGUGGACGGCAGCCUCAGGACACACACCCCUGCCUCAGGGUGCUGAGCCCCCGCCUCGCACUGCACCUGCCCCCCGGUGUCCCCGCCGGGAAGCAGCCCCAGCUCCUGAAUCACCCUCGCUCCGUCAGCCGGGGCUCGUGUCCCAUAGAGGAAGGGGCUGCUGAGGUCUGAUGGGGCCCUUCCUCCGGGCGACCCCACAGGGCCUUUCCAAGCCCCCAUUUGAGCUGCUCCUUCGUGUAUGUGCUCUGGGCCCUGCCUUGGCCUCCUGUGCCAAUACUGUGACUUCGAAACAAUGUUACUGCUGGGCAGCUCUGCAUUGCUCCAGUGCUGCCUGCGCCAGCCCCAGGCUGCUGAGGAGCAGAGGCCAGACCAGGGCCGGUCUGGGUGCCCUGACCCUCAGCUGGCCGUGCCCAACCACCCUGGACGUGGCCGUAUCCCUCUGCCACAUCCUAGGCCCUGCGAGGGGCUAUCGAGAGGAGCUCACUGUGGGAUGGGGUUGACCUCUGCUGCCUGCCUGGGUAUCUGGGCCUGGCCACCGGCUGUGUUCAUGUGUUGAUUUUAUUUGACCCCUGGAGUGGUGGGUCUCAUCUUUCCCGUCUCGCCUGAGAGCGGCUGAGGGCUGCCUCACUGCAAAUCCUCCCCACAGCGUCAAUGAAAGUCGUCCUUGUCUCAGAAUGACCAGGGGCCAGCCAGUGUCUGACCAAGGUCAAGGGGCAGGUGCAGCAGUGGCAGAGAUGGCUCCGAAGCCAGAAAUGCCUUAAACUGCAACGUCCCGUCCCUUCCCCACCCCCAUCCCAUCCCCACCCCCAGCCACAGCCCCAGCCCAGUCCUCCUAGGAGCAGGACCCCAUGAACCGGGCGGCGGGUGGGGGCUGGGCGCCAUGUUACUAACUCUAGUACGUUUCUGUGUCGAUCGCUGUGAAAUAAAGUCUGAAAACUUU